rnacentral:rRNA from 1 species
UGCCGCGUGUGUGAAGAAGGCCUUCGGGUUGUAAAGCACUUUCAGACGUGAGGAAAAGCUAAGUAUUAAUACUAUUUAGCCCUGACGUUAACGUCAGAAGAAGCACCGGCUAACUCCGUGCCAGCAGCCGCGGUAAUACGGAGGGUGCAAGCGUUAAUCGGAAUUACUGGGCGUAAAGCGCGCGUAGGCGGUUAUUUAAGUCAGAUGUGAAAUCCCUGGGCUCAACCUAGGAACUGCAUUUGAUACUGGAUAGCUAGAGUAUGGUAGAGGUGAGUGGAAUUUCAGGUGUAGCGGUGAAAUGCGUAGAGAUCUGAAGGAACAUCAGUGGCGAAGGCGACUCACUGGGCCAUUACUGACGCUGAGGUGCGAAAGCGUGGGUAGCAAACAGGAUUAGAUACCCUGGUAGUCCACGCCCUAAACGAUGUCAACUAGGUGUAUGGAACUUUAUGUUCUGUGUAUCGAAGCUAACGCGAUAAGUUGACCGCCUGGGGAGUACGGCCGCAAGGCUAAAACUCAAAUGAAUUGACGGGGGCCCGCACAAGCGGUGGAGCAUGUGGUUUAAUUCGAUGCAACGCGAAGAACCUUACCUGGUCUUGACAUGUAGCGAACUU